UUGGGAUGAAGAUUUGAUUUGGAGCUGAAGAGUUAAAGCAGGCCAUCAUUUUUGACAGUACUGUGAAUUAUUAGGUGAGAUUCUUCAAAUAUAUUGGUGGCUGCUCGAAGGCUCCGUGGAUUACACCGCUGACUUUGGACACCGGCAUCCAGUCGUUUCAGUCAGAGCAGACGACCCACUCAUUGAAAACAGGUGGGUUGUGUCAAGAAGGGUAUCGGGUGCAAAAAAUGUGCCAAACAUGAGAGUGACCUGCUGUGGCAACCCAUCACAGAGAAAAUUCAUUCUUCACUGUCUCCUCUGUGGACCCGAUCACAACUUCAACCAAUUUGAGACCACCAGCAGGCCACUGGUGGAACAGCAGACGACCAACAGAAGGGCUUUAAGAAUGUUUGAUGUAUCAACACAGAAGAGGCACUGCAGGAGUUUGAACCUGUGACGCAGUGUGCUCCAGCUGGUGGAUGACCUUCCUUUGAUGGAAUUAUCACAAAGAAGAAUGGCUACACUUUGUGCAGCGAUAUUGCCAAAUGAAGAGUGUGUUGUUGAUUUAAAAAAAUAAAUAAAUAAAAUAGAUUGUAAUUGAGAUGAUUUAUCACACCUCCUCACAGCUCAUAUUCUCUCUCUCUCCAAUCAUAACACUGCUUUCUGAAUGAGCUGACUGAUGCAAAAGUAUGACAAUGGUCCUGAGGAGGACAUUUGUCAUUUAAAACGAAUCAUAUAUAAGGCUUUAAAUAUGCCAUAUUCCAAGAGGUUGCUAAUACACUGUUGUACUAACGUCAUUACCGGUAUUGCCCCACUGUUUAGGUCACAGUCGACUGAUUAAAUGGAUGGUUUCUAGGGAACCGGUUAAUGCUGUUUUUAUUGCCUUAAAUAAUUGCCUUAC